rnacentral:lncRNA from 1 species
CUCAUCUUUGGGAAUAAGGAUCGUCUGAAAUGUGGCUCAGACAUUGAGGAAAUUUUUCUUGAUUAUCGUGUUGAUAGGCUUGUCGAGUGCUUUGCAUCUCUAACUGGUUGGAAGCACCGUAUAUCUUCCAUGAUUUGUUUUCUUGAGGAUUGAGUUCCUGAACACCAAAUCUAUGUGGAAAAUGAAUUGAUAAAAGCUAAACAAAGUCAAGAGGAUGAACUUCAAAAAUCAAAAGAAAGUCGAGAAAAUGAAGUUCAAAAAUCCGAACCAGCAAAGAAACACCAAAUCUAUGUGGAAAAUGAAUUGAUAAAAGCUAAACAAAGUCAAGAGGAUGAACUUCAAAAAUCAAAAGAAAGUCGAGAGAAUGAAGUUCAAAAAUCCGAACCAGUAGCUUUGCUGGAGUUUGCUAGAGACAGGUUAAGUCAUAUAGCUGUGCCUCUGAGAUCAUGUUUGUUGAAAUUCUUUACUCAUUUAGCUAGAAGUUUUGUUGGUGAUCAAAUUUUUCAAUACAUGGCACAACUCGUCUCUUUGCUGGACUCUUUGGAAACAUUGUUUUUUCAAGUCAAAUUGACAUCUGAAGAAUUGGAGAAUAUCUUUUCACAUCAGGGAACAAUUGAUUCUUCCCAAUCAUCUGUUCACGCAUCACAGUUACUAUAUACUAAAACACAGUGCCUCUCUAUUCUAAAGUCUCUCCAGUGUUCCUUGGCAAAACUUGACUUCCCUAGUGUGAUGGAUAAAACCUCUAUAAUGGAAUUCUGUUUCAAAAAUGCUUCCUUAAUAUUUUGCACAGCUUCUUCUUCAUAUAAGCUACACUCAAUGGAUAUGGAACCGGUCAAAUUGUUGGUUAUCGAUGAAGCUGCUCAAUUAAAGGAGUGUGAAUCAAUUAUACCUCUUCAGCUCCUAGGCUUGAGGCAUGCUGUUCUAGUUGGAGACGAAUGGCAAUUACCAGCGACUGUUAUCAGCAAGGUAAGCAUAAUGAUACAUCUAAG